rfam:Neotoma lepida isolate 417 scaffold_651, whole genome shotgun sequence.
GGAGAGAUGGCUCAGCAGUUAAGAGCACUGGCUAUUCUUCCAGAGGACCUGGGUUCAAUUCCCAGCACCUACA